AUUGAACGCUGGCGGCAUGCCUUACACAUGCAAGUCGAACGGUAACGGGCCCUCGGGUGCCGACGAGUGGCGAACGGGUGAGUAAUGUAUCGGAACGUACCUUUCAGUGGGGGAUAACGUAGCGAAAGUUACGCUAAUACCGCAUAUUCUGUGAGCAGGAAAGCAGGGGAUCGCCAGACCUUGCUCUGAUUGAGCGGCCGAUAUCAGAUUAGCUAGUUGGUGAGGUAAAGGCUCACCAAGGCGACGAUCUGUAGCGGGUCUGAGAGGAUGAUCCGCCACACUGGAACUGAGACACGGUCCAGACUCCUACGGGAGGCAGCAGUGGGGAAUUUUGGACAAUGGGGGCAACCCUGAUCCAGCCAUGCCGCGUGAGUGAAGAAGGCCUUCGGGUUGUAAAGCUCUUUCGGCCGGGAAGAAAUCGUAUCAGCUAAUACCUGGUGCGGAUGACGGUACCGGCAUAAGAAGCACCGGCUAACUACGUGCCAGCCGCCGCCGUAAAAC
rnacentral:rRNA from 1 species